rnacentral:lncRNA from 1 species
GUGUUACUGAUACCUAAGCUGCUGAGCUACAGAAAAUUCUAUUUAGAUCUGAUUCUUCUAUUUUGUACUUAGGGCUUGUCACGUGGUAGGGGACUGUUGCUUCUUGCUGAAAUGAGUUCUUCGGGUAACCUAGCCACGGGAACUGAGCUACAGAAAAUUCUAUUUUGAUCUGAUUCUUCUAUUUUGUACUUAGGGCUUGUCACGUGGUAGGGGACUGUUGCUUCUUGCUGAAAUGAGUUCUUCGGGUAACCUAGCCACGGGAGCUUACACGGCAGCAGCAGUAAAAAUUGCUGAGGAUCACUCAGAUUUUGUCAUUGGAU